GUAGCGCCUCCUUCCUAGCCCGCCUCCUCCGCAGAACGAAGGCCCGGCGUUCGCUAAGUAGAUUCAACUCUAAAACCGCGAGAAGCCUCGGAGCCAAAUUACGAAAAGGAGAACGGAAGUAGCCGGAAGCCAUGUUUGUUAGGGAAGGUGCGGCUCCGUUGCCUGCUCGUUCGCAAGCUUGAUCCCAGACACUCCUCACCCUCUGCAUUAUCAUUAGCCUACUUAUCUUGCCCUGCUCUUCGGUUUUGCUGAGUUCCUGUGGCUGGAGAGAAGGCUCAGUGCUGAAUAGCACUUACUGAUCAUGCACAGUACAGUGGGUUGAGUUCCCAGCAUCUACACAGCGGCUCACAACCAUCUGUAACUCCAGUUCUGGGAGAUCCAGUGACCUCUUCUGGCCCCCUACAUACAUGUGGUACCCAUAAAGUCAUGCAAGCAUACACACAUAAAUAGAUAAAAAUUUAAAAGAAAA